rnacentral:rRNA from 1 species
GAUGAACGCUAGCGGGAGGCUUAACACAUGCAAGUCGAGGGGCAGCACGAGGUAGUAAUACUUUGGUGGCGACCGGCGCACGGGUGAGUAACGCGUAUGCAACCUACCCUGUACUGGGGGAUAGCCCGGAGAAAUUCGGAUUAAUACCCCAUAAUUAUAUUUGGAGGCAUCUUCAGAUAUUUAAAGUUUCGACGGUACGGGAUGGGCAUGCGUGACAUUAGCUAGUUGGUAAGGUAACGGCUUACCAAGGCUACGAUGUCUAGGGGUCCUGAGAGGGUGAUCCCCCACACUGGUACUGAGACACGGACCAGACUCCUACGGGAGGCAGCAGUGAGGAAUAUUGGUCAAUGGGCGCAAGCCUGAACCAGCCAUCCCGCGUGAAGGAAGAAGGCGCUAUGCGUCGUAAACUUCUUUUCCGGAGGAAUAAAAUUUCGUACGUGUACGGAAC